AUAUUAUAAUAAAAAAAUUUCAUUGAUUAAUAUUAUUUUAAAGAAUUUACCAUAUAAUUUUAUUAUAAUCAAAGCUACAAGAAUUAUAUUCGUAUUAGUAUAAUGUUCCAAUAUUUCAGUUUUAUAUUAUAAUAAAUAUUUUCAUUUAUUAAUAUUAUUUUAAAAUAAUUACCAUAUAUUUUUCUGUUUUUAAAUGUACAAAUACUUUAAUCAUUUUCAAAAAUAAUAACUCAACUAUACAAUCAACAUUUGUCACUGAAAAAUGACUUAACGUUUUUAAAAUUGUAUAUUUGACUGUUCUGCAUUUUGUGGACACAUUUUAGAAAAAAAUAUAUAUAGUGAGUAUAAAAAAAUAUUAUUAGGUUUAGGUUAAUUAGUUUUUUGUAUUCUAUAAUUUAUUGUAUCCACUAUUAAUAUAAAUAUGUUAAAAUCUUUUAUAUAAUUAUUUCUAUCAUACCAUAUAUAUUUAUAUGUAUAUUGUAAAUUUCUUUAAUGUAAUCUAUGAUAUUUAAUUGUUUCUAUAAACGAAUUAUAUUAAUUCUUCUAACUUUAAAAUGUUUAAUUGUUUGUAUGGUAAUAUAUAUUAGAUUAGAUAGUUCUAGGAUUAGUUUCCUUUUUAAAAAUUUAAUUAAAUAAAUGAAAAUAAAAAUACCAACCACCAUUCAAAUUAAAAGAAUUAAUUCUAAACUUCACUAUGAAUGAUACCUAAUCAAAAGUCACUUAACUGAGUUCUCAGUUAAUAUCAUUCAAAAGUCACUUAAGUGAUCUCAGUUAAUAUAUAUAAUAGGAUGAUACAAGUGAUUGUCUACUUUUUAGGAAUCUUUUGGUAAGAUAAUUAAUGUUCGUUAGAGUGUACCACUGCAUUAGCGAUUUAGGGUUACGAUGAUUCUACGGUAUUGGGAUCCUGGGAUUAGAGAGGAGGCGAGGUUAACGGGUCGAUUGGAAUCGGAGGUUCGAAUUGGAGAUGGGAUUUUCCAAGAUUGGAAGGUUGAAGAUGGAUCUUCGAGAUUUUCUUUGGAUUUGGGAUGGGGUGGUCUGAUCGAGGGUACGACGAAAACGGAGAUUUGGAUUCGGCGACAACUAAGGAUUAUGAGGAUUUGGAUUUUAAUUUUUAUUUCGAUCCUGAUCAAGACGAAAUCGAAUCAAGAUGAAGAUAUGCAGAGAAAGGAUUUCUAUGAGGGUUUUGAGGAGGAGAUUAAUCAAGUUAUUGUGAAGAAUGGUUUAUUCAAUUCCGGUUAACGUGUUGCAAUUGGUGGCUCUGGUGGCAAAGGCCAAGGGAGAUUCUAGACACCAUAAAAUCUGGUGAAGACUUCAGAAUAGCAACAACUACAAAGAUGCCUGAGCAAGAAAUGGUGUAAAGCUUGUGUUUUGUUGGAUGGACUCAACCGUGGUUUGCCUAAGAUGGGUAUCGGAAGAGCGAGAGGAGGCGUAAAUGGUGAUCAUAGGAAGGAAACAGAGAAGCCUGCAUAUGCUGCAAAAUCUAUAGAGAGCUAUGAAACUCAUAUAAGUCAAGAUGAUUGACUAUAUAAAAAGUUUGAAAUACCCUUUGUUGUACAAGUUAUGUAUGUCUUCAGGAAAAUUUGGGUUUUUGUUUUGUUUUUUUCCAAUGUUCAAGAAAUUAUUAGACGUUAA